GACGAACGCUGGCGGCGUGCUUAACACAUGCAAGUCGAACGGAAAGGCCCUGCUUUUGUGGGGUGCUCGAGUGGCGAACGGGUGAGUAACACGUGAGUAACCUGCCCUUGACUUUGGGAUAACUUCAGGAAACUGGGUCUAAUACCGGAUAGGAGCUCCUGCUGCAUGGUGGGGGUUGGAAAGUUUCGGCGGUUGGGGAUGGACUCGCGGCUUAUCAGCUUGUUGGUGGGGUAGUGGCUUACCAAGGCUUUGACGGGUAGCCGGCCUGAGAGGGUGACCGGCCACAUUGGGACUGAGAUACGGCCCAGACUCCUACGGGAGGCAGCAGUGGGGAAUAUUGCACAAUGGGCGGAAGCCUGAUGCAGCAACGCCGCGUGCGGGAUGACGGCCUUCGGUUUGUAAACCGCUUUCGCCUGUGACGAAGCGUGAGUGACGGUAAUGGGUAAAGAAGCACCGGCUAACUACGUG
rnacentral:rRNA from 1 species